rnacentral:rRNA from 1 species
AGUGAACGCUGGCGGUAGGCCUAACACAUGCAAGUCGAACGGCAGCACAGUAAGAGCUUGCUCUUACGGGUGGCGAGUGGCGGACGGGUGAGGAAUACAUCGGAAUCUACUUUUUCGUGGGGGAUAACGUAGGGAAACUUACGCUAAUACCGCAUACGACCUACGGGUGAAAGCAGGGGAUCUUCGGACCUUGCGCGAUUGAAUGAGCCGAUGUCGGAUUAGCUAGUUAGCGGGGUAAAGGCCCACCACGGCGACGAUCCGUAGCUGGUCUGAGAGGAUGAUCAGCCACACUGGAACUGAGACACGGUCCAGACUCCUACGGGAGGCAGCAGUGGGGAAUAUUGGACAAAGGGCGCAAGCCUGAUCCAGCCAUACCGCGUGGGUGAAGAAGGCCUUCGGGUUGUAAAGCCCUUUUGUUGGGAAAGAAAAGCAGCAGGUUAAUACCCCGCUGUUCUGACGGUACCCAAAGAAUAAGCACCGGCUAACUUCGUG